rnacentral:rRNA from 1 species
GAUGAACGCUGGCGGCGUGCCUAAUACAUGCAAGUCGAGCGAACAGACGAGUAGCUUGCUCCUCUGACGUUAGCGGCGGACGGGUGAGUAACACGUGGAUAACCUACCUAUAAGACUGUGAUAACUUCGGGAAACCGGAGCUAAUACCGGAUAAUAUAUUGAACCGCAUGGUUCAAUAGUGAAAGACGGUUUUGCUGUCACUUAUAGAUUGAUCCGCGCCGCAUUAGCUAGUUGGUAAGGUAACGGCUUACCAAGGCAACGAUGCGUAGCCGACCUGAGAGGGUGAUCGGCCACACUGGAACUGAGACACGGUCCAGACUCCUACGGGAGGCAGCAGUAGGGAAUCUUCCGAAAUGGGCGAAAGCUUGACGGAGCAACGCCGCGUGAGUGAUGAAGGUCUUCGGAUCGUAAAACUCUGUUAUUAGGGAAGAACAAAUGUGUAAGUAACUAUGCACGUCUUGACGGUACCUAAUCAGAAAGCCACGGCUAACUACGUG